CGAACGGGUGAGUAAUACAUCGGAACGUGUCCGCUCGUGGGGGACAACCAGCCGAAAGGUUGGCUAAUACCGCAUGAGUUCUACGGAAGAAAGAGGGGGACCCGCAAGGGCCUCUCGCGAGCGGAGCGGCCGAUGACUGAUUAGCCAGUUGGUGAGGUAACGGCUCACCAAAGCAACGAUCAGUAGCUGGUCUGAGAGGACGACCAGCCACACUGGGACUGAGACACGGCCCAGACUCCUACGGGAGGCAGCAGUGGGGAAUUUUGGACAAUGGGCGCAAGCCUGAUCCAGCUAUUCCGCGUGUGGGAUGAAGGCCCUCGGGUUGUAAACCACUUUUGUAGAGAACGAAAAGACAUCUUCGAAUAAAGGAUGUUGCUGACGGUACUCUAAGAAUAAGCACCGGCUAACUACGUGCCAGCAGCCGCGGUAAUACGUAGGGUGCGAGCGUUAAUCGGAAUUACUGGGCGUAAAGGGUGCGCAGGCGGUUGAGUAAGACAGAUGUGAAAUCCCCGAGCUUAACUCGGGAAUGGCAUAUGUGACUGCUCGACUAGAGUGUGUCAGAGGGAGGUGGAAUUCCACGUGUAGCAGUGAAAUGCGUAGAUAUGUGGAAGAACACCGAUGGCGAAGGCAGCCUCCUGGGACAUAACUGACGCUCAGGCACG
rnacentral:rRNA from 1 species